UUUGAUCCUGGCUCAGAUUGAACGCUGGCGGCAGGCCUAACACAUGCAAGUCGAACGGUAACAUUUCUAGCUUGCUAGAAGAUGACGAGUGGCGGACGGGUGAGUAAUGCUUGGGAACUUGCCUUUGCGAGGGGGAUAACAGUUGGAAACGACUGCUAAUACCGCAUAAUGUCUUCGGACCAAACGGGGCUUAGGCUCCGGCGCAAAGAGAGGCCCAAGUGAGAUUAGCUAGUUGGUAGGGUAACGGCUUACCAAGGCGACGAUCUCUAGCUGUUCUGAGAGGAAGAUCAGCCACACUGGGACUGAGACACGGCCCAGACUCCUACGGGAGGCAGCAGUGGGGAAUAUUGCACAAUGGGGGAAACCCUGAUGCAGCCAUGCCGCGUGUGUGAAGAAGGCCUUCGGGUUGUAAAGCACUUUCAGUUGUGAGGAAAAGUUAGUAGUUAAUACC
rnacentral:rRNA from 2 species